rnacentral:rRNA from 1 species
CCUACGGGAGGCAGCAGUGAGGAAUAUUGGUCAAUGGUCGGGAGGCUGAACCAGCCAAGCCGCGUGAAGGAGGAAGGUGCCAAGCAUUGUAAACUUCUUUUGUCAAGGGACAAAAUCAGGCACGUGUGCCUGGCCGAGGGUACUUGAAGAAAAAGCAUCGGCUAACUCCGUGCCAGCAGCCGCGGUAAUACGGAGGAUGCGAGCGUUCUCCGGAUUUAUUGGGUUUAAAGGGUGCGUAGGCGGACUGUUAAGUCAGCGGUAAAAGCCCGGGGCUCAACCCCGGCGCGCCGUUGAAACUGGCAGUCUUGAGAUGGCGAGAGGUAUGCGGAAUGCGCGGUGUAGCGGUGAAAUGCUUAGAUAUCGCGCAGAACUCCGAUUGCGAAGGCAGCAUACCGGCGGCGCUCUGACGCUGAGGCACGAAAGCGUGGGUAUCGAACAGGAUUAGAUACCCGGGUAGUC